rnacentral:rRNA from 1 species
UUGAACGCUGGCGGCAUGCUUUACACAUGCAAGUCGAACGGCAGCGGGGGCUUCGGCCUGCCGGCGAGUGGCGAACGGGUGAGUAAUGCAUCGGAACGUGCCCAGUCAUGGGGGAUAACUACGCGAAAGCGUAGCUAAUACCGCAUACGCCCUGAGGGGGAAAGCGGGGGAUCGCAAGACCUCGCGUGAUUGGAGCGGCCGAUGUCGGAUUAGGUAGUUGGUGGGAUAAAAGCUUACCAAGCCGACGAUCUGUAGCUGGUCUGAGAGGACGACCAGCCACACUGGGACUGAGACACGGCCCAGACUCCUACGGGAGGCAGCAGUGGGGAAUUUUGGACAAUGGGCGAAAGCCUGAUCCAGCCAUGCCGCGUGCAGGAUGAAGGCCUUCGGGUUGUAAACUGCUUUUGUACGGAACGAAAAGACUCCUUCUAAUAAAGGGGGCUCAUGACGGUACUGUAAGAAUAAGCACCGGCUAACUACGU